CUCUAUCUUCCAUGAAAAAAUAGCUAUAUUAUAAGCCACCAAAUGUUGGCUCUAUUUCUAUUCACUGUCUCAGGAUGUGUACAGUUUGACAGUGUUUUCACUUCAACUCUCUGAGUGACAUCAUUAAAGAAACUGGUGACCCAAGGCUGUCUCAUCUUCAAUGCUGGUUUCUUAAAAUGAGUGCCAUUUUCUUCAGUUACAUUAUGAAAUGGCCAGGCAGCAGGGGAACCAUGGAGAUCUGUGCCCCACCACCCACCAGGCUUUCCCUGACUGACCCGUGUUUACCUUCUGUCGGUGCCACUUCCCACUGGGUUAUUGAUGUGCUUCUCUGCCCAGGAAGCCAGCUCUCUCAAUGUACUUUGUUAAGCUGACACCAGGGCACACACAGGCUUUUGUUGUACUGUGAAGGCGAAGAAGAAUGUUUGUGGACGGGGAUGCUGAAUAUCUCAGUUAAACUCUUCUUAGAGAGGCGGGAGAGACAGACAGACAUCUGAUUACACAUUCUCCUUAUUCAGAUGACACCUGAAAGCCUAUUCUGUUCCCAAGGAAGGCAAAGUUCAAUUCUUCCCUCUGAUUAGGAGCCCUUUUGUUUAAUAUGUGACUGGUGGCUUAAGACAGCUCCCAAAGUAAAAACAAACCUGUGUUGAUUAAUCAACAGCAAAUGAAAACUUAGAUUAUGACUUGUUUGUGUUUCCUGACUUUCAGGAACAGUCAUCACUGUUAAAUUCCUGACUUUCCUGAGAAUGUUGCUCUCGGCUUUUUCUAGAUUUAGUUGGGGUUUAUCCAAUUUGCCUAAAAUCACUCUUUGUCCCUUUUUGUUUCUUGUAGGAGCAA